CCGCCUGGGGAGUACGGCCGCAAGGUUAAAACUCAAAUGAAUUGACGGGGGCCCGCACAAGCGGUGGAGCAUGUGGUUUAAUUCGAUGCAACGCGAAGAACCUUACCUGGUCUUGACAUCCACAGAAUUCUGCAGAGAUGCGGAAGUGCCUUCGGGAACUGUGAGACAGGUGCUGCAUGGCUGUCGUCAGCUCGUGUUGUGAAAUGUUGGGUUAAGUCCCGCAACGAGCGCAACCCUUAUCCUUUGUUGCCAGCGAUUAGGUCGGGAACUCA
rnacentral:rRNA from 1 species